rnacentral:rRNA from 1 species
UACGUAGGGGGCGAGCGUUGUCCGGAUUUAUUGGGCGUAAAGAGCUCGUAGGCGGCUUGGCAAGUCGGGUGUGAAACCUCCAGCUCAACCUGGAGACGCCACUCGAUACUGCCAUGGCUAGAGUCCGGUAGGGGACCACGGAAUUCCUGGUGUAGCGGUGAAAUGCGCAGAUAUCAGGAGGAACACCGGUGGCGAAGGCGGUGGUCUGGGCCGGCACUGACGCUGGAGGCGCGAAAGCUGGGGGAGCGAACGGG